rnacentral:lncRNA from 1 species
UUGUUUUUUUGUUACAAAGGCUGCAAAAAAUUAUAUAAACCUAACAUCAAAUGAAAUAUGUCAAUAGGUCACAGACGCACUAUAUUCUCUUAUUCUCAGCUGAUUCUCUAAACCUAGGGUAUCAACACAUCUUUGAUCUGUGACUAUGGAGAGAUAUACUAAAAGGAUUGGAGGUAAGGGUUGUUUUUAGAUGGAAGCGUAUGUGUAAGUUUCUCACCUUAACCAUAUUUAUCUUCUGGGUGGCUUGCCAUUAAAUCUUAUCCUAACCAUAUUUAUUUUAGUGAACUAAAAAAAUGACGAGGGUGGACUUAGAAUAUUUACUAUAACUACAUAUCAUGGCUACUUUAUGUGUUAGUAUAAUGUUCAUGACCAUGUUUUUAACUUGGUGAUAGUUGUCUAGUCGGUUCGUAUAAUGGUAUGGUAUGCAUCUUCCCACACUUUGAUGAAGCUGUAAUCGUCAGUCCUUUGACUACAGAAUUUAAGAAAGUGCUGAAUCCCCUAGUUCUAGAAACAGACUCCUCAUGUUGGGCUUUGGUUAUGAUUCUUUAAUGUACUUUUCCUAAUCUGCUAAAACAAUCUUAUAUUUGUUUUUCUAUUGAAUCAUAACCAAACCACAACAUAAAGAUCUAGUUUAUGGAUGUUGGAGGGAGAUGCAUACCAACCCAUUUGACGAACCGAUUAAUGACCGUCUCCUUCGUUAAGGCUAUGUUCACCAAUAUUAUAUUAUACUGACCAUAUAUCAACUAGUCGGCUACGUAGAUAUCACAACUCUUCUAAGUUCAACCUUGUCAUUGUUGCGAAUAAGAUGGGAUUUAAUGGAAAGUGGGCUGGAGAUCAAAGUCGACCAACACUUGCACACACUCUUGCAUCAGAUUAGAUACCACACAUUCAAUCUUUUUAACUCCUCAUGUUGGGCUUUGGUUAUGAUUCUUUAAUGUACUUUUCCUAAUCUGCUAAAACAAUAUUAUAUUUGUUUUUCUACUGAAUCAUAACCAAACCACAACAUAAAGAUCUAGUUUAUGGAUGUUGGAGGGAGAUGCAUACCAACCCAUUUGACGAACCGAUUAAUGACCGUCUCCUUCGUUAAGGCUAUGUUCACCAAUAUUAUAUUAUACUGACCAUAUAUCAACUAGUCG